UACGGAGGAUUCGAGCGUUAUCCGGAUUUACUGGGUUUAAAGGGUGCGUAGGUGGAAUGUCAAGUCAGUGGUGAAAACCUGCAGCUUAACUGUAGAACUGCCAUUGAUACUGUCAUUCUUGAGUGUAUUUGAUGUAAGUGGAAUGUGUCAUGUAGCGGUGAAAUGCUUAGAUAUGACACAGAACACCCAUUGCGAAGGCAGCUUACAAAACUACAACUGACACUGAGGCACGAAAGCGUGGG
rnacentral:rRNA from 1 species